rnacentral:lncRNA from 1 species
CUGACAUUGCCCAGCAAGGCAGUCUAAGCAAACAGAGUGGCAAUGACCUUGUAAUGACACUGUUUACAACACACUUGCCAAGAAGGCGAGGAGGCCAUCAUCCGGGGACUACUGCAUCAUCAAAAAAACCACCUGCUCAGCGCCAACUCAGAACCACUCCCUCUCCUCUCAAAGUCCACGUGGUCUCCCAGGAGAAUGGCAAAACAUGAUAAGUCUCUGCGGCCUUCUUCCAUCACGUGACAGAAAAUUUCAGAUGGAGAG